rnacentral:rRNA from 1 species
AGCGAACGCUGGCGGCAGGCCUAACACAUGCAAGUCGAACGCCCCUUCGGGGGAGUGGCGGACGGGUGAGUAACGCGUGGGAAUGUGCCCUUUGGUACGGAACAACUGAGGGAAACUUCAGCUAAUACCGUAUGUGCCCUACGGGGGAAAGAUUUAUCGCCAUUGGAGCAGCCCGCGUUGGAUUAGGUAGUUGGUGGGGUAAUGGCCCACCAAGCCGACGAUCCAUAGCUGGUCUGCGAGGAUGAGCAGCCACACUGGGGCUGAGACACGGCCCAGACUCCUACGGGAGGCAGCAGUGGGGAAUCUUGCGCAAUGGGCGAAAGGCUGACGCAGCCAUGCCGGGUGAAUGAUGAAGGUCUUAGGAUUGUAAAAUUCUUUCACCGGGGAAGAUAAUGACGGUACCCGGAGAAGAAGCCCCGGCUAACUUCGUG